CGGCUUCACAGGUCUCUUGUUAAAUCCAACGGCCCAACCGUUGGACUGCAGUAGAUACCAUGGAGCUAGGGGGCGGGAGAGGCGGACGGUACUCCAUGGGUAGGGGUAAAUCCUUUGAUCCAUGGAAGACCACCAGUGGCGAAGGCGGUCCGCUAGAACGCGCCCGACGGUGAGGGAUGAAAGCUGGGGGAGCGAACCGGAUUAGAUACCCGGGUAGUCCCAGCUGUAAACGAUGCAGGCUAGGUGAUAGGAAGCUAUUACGCCUCCCUAGUGCCGCAGGGAAGCCGAUAAGCCUGCCGCCUGGGGA
rnacentral:rRNA from 1 species